rnacentral:rRNA from 1 species
CGUCCGCCGGCGACCGGCGCACGGUGAGUAACACGUAUGCAACCUGGCCGCCACAGGGGGAUAACCCGCGGAAACGCGGCCUAAUACCCCGUGACGCCACCGGAGGGCAUCCUCCGGUGGCCAAAGGAGCGAUCCGGUGGCGGAUGGGCAUGCGGCGCAUUAGGUAGUUGGUGGGGCAACGGCCCACCAAGCCGACGAUGCGUAGGGGUUCUGAGAGGAAGGUCCCCCACAUUGGAACUGAGACACGGUCCAAACUCCUACGGAAGGCAGCAG